CACUGCAGCUAGCUAGUGUUUUUAUAGACAAGCUAAAGUCAAGUCGUUUAAAGGCUAGGAAUUAGGAUUCCUGAAUCUUGUUGAUGAUAAGAAUUCUUCCACAUUAAUUUGUGCCUACCCAAUUUAAUAAUUAAUGUUGUGUUUUCCUUAUCUUCUUCAGUCAUUUGCAGGAAAAAGGAAGUGAUGAGAGCAUCUGAUCUACUGCUACUGGGAGGGGGGCUUUUUGGUUCUAUAUAAAGAGAGGGAGACACCAUGUUGUUUGCCAGCAGAUCACAAGAAGCUAUCAAUUGUAAACAGCUGUGAUUAUACAUGGAGAAGUAGACAUGGCGUGAUAUUGAUUCGGUCUCAUCUGUUGUUUAAACAGGCCGGCCGGCCGGCCAGAUCGAUGAGAUGAGCCGAACCAAUAUCACUCUUGUAUUCUUCUUUCUUUCAACCAAAUAUGCCCACCCACAACUUCAAAUUAUAUUGCAUCUGAUCUGAUAGAUGAUGAGCACCUCUAUUGAGUGGACAACUGAUCUAGAGAUUUAAGGUUGCUUCAUAUCCAAAACCAAUGUUCGAAUGUUUGACCUUUGGUUAAGGAUGGAUGAGUCCUUCCACUCAACCACACCCCUAGGUUCGGUGGGGAGAUGUAUGUUCUCAGUUUGCUUGAAUUAAUUAGGGAUUAAUUAAUGAAUACAAUUGAAUUUUAGAUCUUCAAUUUGUUUUUGCUGAAGAAAGAGAAAUCAUAUCACAUUACUUGAAUUUUAGAUACUUUGAUUGCUAUCAUUAUUUCAGUCUUCUUACUGUUCUAAAAUUCUUCUGAAAAUAAUGGGAGUAAGCUAGGGACAGCUGCACAUUUGUCCCAUGUUCAAUAUUAAUGUAGUGUAUUAUUGAAUGGUCAAUCAUUUCGCAUGA